GGGGAUGUAGCUCAGUGAUAGAGUGUGUGCUUAGCAUGCAUGAGGUCCUGGGUUCAAUCCUCAGUACCUUCA
rnacentral:tRNA from 1 species